rnacentral:rRNA from 1 species
UGGGGAAUAUUGCACAAUGGGCGCAAGCCUGAUGCAGCAACGCCGCGUGAACGAUGAAGGUCUUCGGAUCGUAAAGUUCUGUUGCAGGGGAAGAUAAUGACGGUACCCUGUGAGGAAGCCCGGCCAACUACGUGCCAGCAGCCGCGGUAAUACGGAGGGGGCUAGCGUUAUCCGGAUUUACUGGGCGUAAAGGGGGCGUAGGUGGUCUUUCAAGUCGGUGGUUAAAGGCUACGGCUCAACCGUAGUUAGCCUCCGAAACUGGAAGACUUGAGUGCAGGAGAGGAAAGUGGAAUUCCCAGUGUAGCGGUGAAAUGCGUAGAUAUUGGGAGGAACACCAGUAGCGAAGGCGGCUUUCUGGACUGCAACUGACACUGAGGCACGAAAGCGUGGGUAGCAAACAGG